GACGAACGCUGGCGGCGUGCUUAACACAUGCAAGUCGAACGGUAAGGCCCUUCGGGGUACACGAGUGGCGAACGGGUGAGUAACACGUGGGUGAUCUGCCCUGCACUUCGGGAUAAGCCUGGGAAACUGGGUCUAAUGCCGGAUAGGACCCUGGGAUGCAUGUCCUGGGGUGGAAAGCUUUUGCGGUGUGGGAUGGGCCCGCGGCCUAUCAGCUUGUUGGUGGGGUGGUGGCCUACCAAGGCGACGACGGGUAGCCGGCCUGAGAGGGUGACCGGCCACACUGGGACUGAGAUACGGCCCAGACUCCUACAGGAGGCAGCAGUGGGGAAUAUUGCACAAUGGGCGCAAGCCUGAUGCAGCGACGCCGCGUGAGGGAUGACGGCCUUCGGGUUGUAAACCUCUUUCAGCACCGACGAAGCGCAAGUGACGGUAGGUGCAGAAGAAGGACCGGCCAACUACGUGCCAGCAGCCGCGGUAA
rnacentral:rRNA from 1 species